CCGCCUUCCGGAUGGAUGAAAGCAGAAGCAGUGGCUGGAGCUAGAGCAGCUAUUUAGGACUAUGAGAUGGAAGAAAUGUGGUGACAAUAGCAGAACAAAAAUAUAGAAAUCUUGGGUACUUGAUGACCACGGAGCCGCCAUACAAACUCUGGACUAUAAUUUCCAGAGACUGUUUAUAGAAUGAAGAUACUGUCAUUACCUCUGCAAAGAAUGCAUCCUAGCACAGAUCAAAGAUCUUCCAAGUCCAGCCACACCAUUUUACAGUUCUGAACCUCGACUUAGGAAAGCAGUGGAUCUUUAUACAUUUGACACAUCCCUUCCCUCUAGGAUCUCUGUGGCUAUUGAAAAUGGACUGGAGAAGAUGAGUGGGAGUGAGAAGAGGAUAACAGAAUCAGAUAAAAACCUGUCAUGUUACUAAGAGCAGGAGAUGAGGCAGCCUGGACCAAGAUGGUGGCAGAGAGAAGAAAAUUGCUUGAGAGAAUUGAUUAAACUACUUGGUUAGCACAGAUAGAGCUGAAUCAAAAAUUAGGAUGGUAAGCUAAGUAAUUUUACACACAAAAAGGCAGAGUUGCAUUCAUAAUUAGUCUCUCCUUCAGACUGAAUAUUACAGACAAAAUAUAGCCAUUGGUGUUGCAAUCACUUCCUUUGGGUUUGUAUCCAAGGUUAAGAAUGUCAGCAUCCAAAGACCCAAAUUCUUAAUGUUUUUAGUUGAUAAAGUUUAUUCAAGGUAGACAGCCUGUGUUGAAUAACUUAGUCUUCCACAAAUUUCAAGAAAAAUCCAUUGUCCCUCUUCUCCGCCACAGACACACUUUAGUUGAACAUUAAGCAUAUUUAUUAAAGAAACAUUCUCCUUGUGCUUUUUCUCCCAAGAUGGAUGGUGUUCUUACUUAGAGUUAUAAGUGUCAGAAUAAAAAUGCCCAUGAGGUUGAAUUGUAUGAUGUUAUAGUAAAGUGAGAUAAACAUUCUCAGAAACAUGAUUGUGACUUAAAAAAAAAAAAAACCAACAAACCACUUUCUGUAGAGGAAUUAUGCUUUGGGGACAGAAACUUUCCUUUAUAAUUUUUACAGCUGCACGCAGAUAAAGUGUAUUAAAAAGGCACAACACAUCAAUUAUGAAAACAUGGCUACCCUUUAAGAGAACACAGACUUUUUCCAGAUCCAUCUUAAAUCUCAGGAAUUCUAGAUCGAGACAGGCAUGAAUGCUCCUGUUGCUGAAAUCACUCUGAUUUCCUUCUUGUUAAACACUUCACUCAGCAACAUUAUAGAUUAGCACCAAAAAAGUUGUUUGUAGGUGAAAAACUGUUCAGAAAAGGACACCUUAUUAGGCAGGCUGUCGAUUUACAAAUAAAAGCCGAUUCUGGCUCUCCAAAAAAAAAAAAAAAA
rnacentral:lncRNA from 1 species